CAGAAAAACAUAAUUUCCCUACUUAGCUCUUAAAAUUAGGUCCAUUUUUGUUUUUCCUUUGUCUGAGAUCGUGAUUGCUAACCCUGCUCUCUUGCAGCUACAAAUGUUAGUGCUCCUUUCUGCCUGUACCUGAGGCCUGAGACCAGAACUUUGUAUCCCUUUUGAGUGACAAUAAGUACUCUACUCCACUCUGAGGAACUGUGACCAUGGCCCCUGAACCCCUGGAGCCACAAAUGAAAGCCUCCAAAAAGGCUGCCAUCACCAGGCCAACUCACUUCUGAAAUCAUGGAACCUUCAAUGGACACCGUUGCAGAACAUCAUGACCACCAUGGAACUCAGUGGAUUGUGCUGCUUCAAGCACUAGAACAAAACACCAAAGCACCUUUACCUUGUAGUUGUGCACCUGCAUUCAUACUUUUAGCUGUUCAAUUAUUUCUUCUUUAAUUCCAGGAAAUACCAUAAUUUAUUCUGCUAUAAAUAACAUGUCAUUGUUGCCCUUGCUUGUUCCAGGCAGUAAGGCUAAGGUUUCUGUAAUUUGUUUAUUUUAAAUAUAUGUUGUGUCAUUAAAUAUUUUCCAAUUAGACAUCAAACAAA